GGGGUUGAGGCUCAACGGUAGAGCGCUUGCCUCACAUGUGCAAGACCCUGGGUUCGAUCCUCAGCACCACA
rnacentral:tRNA from 1 species